AAACUCUAACCCUAGCCGCCAGAGUCCCUCGCCGGAAAAGACAGCCCAGCCGCCGGGGAGCCGGCCACUGUCACCCGCCGCUGUACCGCAGCAAUUUUCGACUGCCAAACGAGGUAAAAAAAUUUCCUCUUGCACGAAAUUCAAUUUUAAACCCACCAAUUGCCAAAUCGGAGUGAAAGAACUGGCUGAAUGGCUGGAAAACGCCGCUGGGUGUUUCGAAAAAUGCCUCCGAUGAGGCUCUUUCCGAUUCUCGUUCGAUGUAAUUUUUUCACCGUUGUGACCACCGUUUCCUUCUCUACAGGUUGACCGAAAUAAAACACCCAACCACAACGUGAGCCGGAGGAGCCGCCGCACCAGAGAGCCCCAUCGCCCGGUGAAUUUGGAUUUUCUACGUUUUUUCGGCCCACCGAGGGCUCUAAGUGUGUUUUUUCACAGGAAUCGCUGUAAGUUCGGCUGAAUUUGGCCGAAAAUAAUCAACUCAAGGCAGAU
rnacentral:lncRNA from 1 species